GGCCGGUUAGCUCAGUUGGCUUGAUGAGAGCGUGGUGCUAAUAACGCCAAGGUCGCGGGUUCGAUCCCCGUACGGGCCA